rnacentral:rRNA from 1 species
UGGGGGAUAUUGCACAAUGGGCGAAAGCCUGAUGCAGCGACGCCGCGUGGGGGAUGAAGGCUUUCGGGUUGUAAACCUCUUUCGCUAUCGAACAAGGCCCGCUUAGGGUGGGUUGAGGGUAGGUGGAUAAGAAGCGCCGGCUAACUACGUGCCAGCAGCCGCGGUAAUACGUAGGGCGCGAGCGUUGUCCGGAAUUAUUGGGCGUAAAGGGCUUGUAGGCGGCUUGUUGCGCCUGCUGUGAAAACGCGGGGCUUAACUUCGAGCGUGCAGUGGGUACGGGCAGGCUUGAGUGUGGUAGGGGUGACUGGAAUUCCAGGUGUAGCGGUGGAAUGCGCAGAUAUCUGGAGGAACACCGAUGGCGAAGGCAGGUCACUGGGCCAUUACUGACGCUGAGGAGCGAAAGCAUGGGUAGCGAACAGG